UACGAAGGGGGGCUAGCGUUGCUCGGAAUCACUGGGCGUAAAGGGUGCGUAGGCGGGUCUUUUAAGUCAGGGGUGAAAUCCUGGAGCUCAACUCCAGAACUGCCUUUGAUACUGAGGAUCUUGAGUUCGGGAGAGGUGAGUGGAACUGCGAGUGUAGAGGUGAAAUUCGUAGAUAUUCGCAAGAACACCAGUGGCGAAGGCGGCUCACUGGCCCGAUACUGACGCUGAGGAGCGAAAGCGUGGGGAGCGAACAGG
rnacentral:rRNA from 1 species